rnacentral:rRNA from 1 species
CAGAUUGAACGUCUGGCGGCAGGCUUAACACAUGCAAGUCGAGCGGAAACGAUGGGAGCUUGCUCCCAGGCGUCGAGCGGCGGACGGGUGAGUAACACUUAGGAAUCUACCUAGUAGUGGGGGAUAGCUCGGGGAAACUCGAAUUAAUACCGCAUACGUCCUACGGGAGAAAGGGGGCAACUUGUUGCUCUCGCUAUUAGAUGAGCCUAAGUCGGAUUAGCUAGUUGGUGGGGUAAAGGCCUACCAAGGCGACGAUCUGUAGCUGGUCUGAGAGGAUGAUCAGCCACACCGGGACUGAGACACGGCCCGGACUCCUACGGGAGGCAGCAGUGGGGAAUAUUGGACAAUGGGGGCAACCCUGAUCCAGCCAUGCCGCGUGUGUGAAGAAGGCCUUUUGGUUGUAAAGCACUUUAAGCAGUGAAGAAGACCAUAUGGUUAAUACCCAUAUGCGAUGACAUUAGCUGCAGAAUAAGCACCGGCUAACUCUGUGCCAGCAGCCGCGGUAAUACAGAGGGUGCAAGCGUUAAUCGGAAUUACUGGGCGUAAAGCGAGCGUAGGUGGCUUGAUAAGUCAGAUGUGAAAUCCCCGGGCUUAACCUGGGAACUGCAUCUGAUACUGUUAGGCUAGAAUAGGUGAGAGGAAGGUAGAAUUCCAGGUGUAGCGGUGAAAUGCGUAGAGAUCUGGAGGAAUACCGAUGGCGAAGGCAGCCUUCUGGCAUCAUAUUGACACUGAGGUUCGAAAGCGUGGGUAGCAAACAGGAUUAGAUACCCUGGUAGUCCACGCCGUAAACGAUGUCUACUAGUCGUUGGGUCCCUUGAGGACUUAGUGACGCAGCUAACGCAAUAAGUAGAC